CCAGCAGCCGCGGUAAUUCCAGCUCCAAAAGCGUAUACUAAAACUGUUGCAGUUAAAAGGCUCGUAGUCGAUUCUGUGACCAUUCAUACUUGUCCCAGUAUCUAGAGUACUGCGCGUCUUUGUAUGGUGGUCAUCCUUCUGGUAAGUAUUACUGCUCUUGAUUGAGUGGGUAAUAUCAGCCAGGUCAUUUACUGUGAGAAAAUCAGAGUGUUCAAAGCAGGCACAUGCCAUGAAUGCUACAGCAUGGAAUAAUACUAUAGGACUUCGGUUCUAUUUGUUGGCUUCUAGAAUCAAAGUAAUGAUUGAAAGAGAUAGUCGGGGGUGCUAGUACUUAGCGGUCAGCG
rnacentral:rRNA from 1 species